CCCUGUGUGGAGGCCAAGUCACAUCAGAUGUCUUGGUCAGUCGCUCUCCACCUUGGUUCUUGAAGCAAAGUGUCUAAGUGUGGAACUCUUCAGUUUGGCUAGACUGGUGGGUGAACUCCAGGAUGCCCAUCUCUCCUUGCCGCCCCCUGCCACCACACCCAGCUCGUCACACGGCUGAUGGAGAUCUGCAGUCAGGGCCUCAUGCUUACCCAGUGAGCCGUUUCCUGACUGGGCCGUCUCUCCAGCGGCUUCUUCUGCCUUCUUUGGGCCUACCUGGGUUCAACUUGACAUGACUGCAGCUGUCAUUUGUUGGAGGUGCCAUGACUACCCCAGAGCAACUCUGCUUGUUUAUGGCAAAUAGUUUCCCAGCAGAACAUAGCUAGACAAAGCCGCCAGAGUGAAGGACAGAGCUGUACCCAGACCCUGGCUGAAGGAACACGCUGGACUCUUUGGUGUCAGCUUAAGAACCAGGCCAGAGAGACCAUGGGGUAGAGGUGCUCGCUGCCCAGCCUGGAAGACCCGACUUUAAUCCCUGGGACCCACGUGGUGGAAGGAGAAAACCAACUCCUGCAAGCUGUCCUCUGACAUCACACACACUGAAUAAGAAACAUAUGAAGCGAAGAAAAAGGAUUCCCGGGGAAACUGCAGAAGAAGAAAUGAGACAAAUGUUUGUUAUGAGCGGGCAGAGGAGGCUGGAGAGCUCUUUAGCUUCCUAAAGCAAACGCGGGGAGGAGAGGAGAAAGUCGAGGGCUGGAGGAUGAGGCAGGCACCAACCAAGAAAGACCAGGAUACAAGGGGCCAAACAGCACCAAAGCUUAGGGAGCCCGGAUGUUCCCGCGGUUAGCUGCCUUUGCGGCAGAAAAGUCUGCUCAGCAAAGCUCCUCCUUCUGCUUCCAUCCCCAUCUUCCUUCCACCCCAUCCCCCACCCCAUCCCCCCACCGCAUCGCGGUCGCCAGAGGCACCGCCUUCUGAUCUCUUCAUUCUGGUUCCCAGAAAUGGACAGUCAGGGCAUCUUACUUUCUAACGUUACAUACGAGGCAACAGGCGCCCCGCAUGCUGCUGGCGCUUCCCUUUUCUCUCUUUGGAAAAAUAAUAAUUGGUUAUUAGGCGCGUGGAUGAAUGGUGGUGGUCGGAGGCAC